AUUGAACGCUGGCGGCAUGCUUUACACAUGCAAGUCGAACGGCAGCACGGACUUCGGUCUGGUGGCGAGUGGCGAACGGGUGAGUAAUACAUCGGAACGUACCCAGUAAUGGGGGAUAACUAUCCGAAAGGAUAGCUAAUACCGCAUAUGCCCUACGGGGGAAAGAGGGGGAUCGCAAGACCUCUUGUUAUUGGAGCGGCCGAUGGCUGAUUAGCUAGUUGGUAGGGUAAAGGCCUACCAAGGCAACGAUCAGUAGCGGGUCUUAGAGGACGAUCCGCCAAACUGGAAGUGAGACACGGGCCAGACUCGUACGGGAGGCAGCAGUGGGGAAUCUUGGACAAGGGGCGCAAGCCUGAUCCAGCAAUGCCGCGUGCGUGAAGAAGGCCUUCGGGUUGUAAAGCGCUUUUGUCAGGGAGCAAAUCCUUGUGGCUAAUACCCACCGGGGAUGGGAGUACCUGAAGAAUAAGGACCGGCUAACUACGUGCCAGCCGCCGCCGUAAUAC
rnacentral:rRNA from 1 species